rnacentral:rRNA from 1 species
AGUGAACGCUGGCGGUAGGCCUAACACAUGCAAGUCGAACGGCAGCACAGUAAGAGCUUGCUCUUACGGGUGGCGAGUGGCGGACGGGUGAGGAAUACAUCGGAAUCUACUUUUUCGUGGGGGAUAAUGUAGGGAAACUUACGCUAAUACCGCAUACGACCUACGGGUGAAAGCAGGGGAUCUUCGGACCUUGCGCGAUUGAAUGAGCCGAUGUCGGAUUAGCUAGUUGGCGGGGUAAAGGCCCACCAAGGCGACGAUCCGUAGCUGGUCUGAGAGGAUGAUCAGCCACACUGGAACUGAGACACGGUCCAGACUCCUACAGGAGGCGGCAGUGGGGAAUAUUGGACAAUGGGCGCAAGCCUGAUCCAGCCAUACCGCGUGGGUGAAGAAGGCCUUCGGGUUGUAAAGCCCUUUUGUUGGGAAAGAAAAGCAGCAGGUUAAUACCCCGCUGUUCUGACGGUACCCAAAGAAUAAGCACCGGCUAACUUCGUG